ACGUAGGUGGCAAGCGUUGUUCGGAAUUAUUGGGCGUAAAGGGCGCGUAGGUGGCUUGUUAAGCGUGUGGUGAAAGCCUGGGGCUCAACCCCAGGUCUGCCGUGCGAACUGGCAAGCUUGAGCGUAGUAGAGGCAGGUGGAAUUUCGGGUGUAGCGGUGGAAUGCGUAGAUAUCCGAAAGAACACCGGUGGCGAAGGCGGCCUGCUGGGCUACUGCUGACCCUGAUGCGCGACAGCGUGGGGAGCAAACAGGA
rnacentral:rRNA from 1 species